rnacentral:tRNA from 1 species
GCCCCUGUGGUGGUAUUGGCAGUACGCACUAGGCUUAGAACCUAGCGACCUUAAGUGGUCUGGGAGUUCGAAUCUCCCUAGGGGCA